AUUGAACGCUGGCGGCAGGCCUAACACAUGCAAGUCGAGCGGAGCGGCGGACGGGUGAGUAAUGCCUAGGAAUCUGCCUGGUAGUGGGGGAUACCGUCCGGAAACGGGCGCUAAUACCGCAUACUAUCAGAUGAGCCUAGGUCGGAUUAUCUAUUUGGUGGGUUAAAGGCCUACCAGGGCGACGAUCCGUACCUGGUCUGAGAGGAUGCUCAGUCACACUGGAACUGAGAAACGGUCCAGACUCUUACGGGAGGAAGCAGUGGGGAAGAUUGGACAAUGGGCGAAAGCCUGAUCCAGCCAUGCCGCGUGUGUGAAGAAGGUCUUCGGAUUGUAAAGCACUUGAAGUUGGGAGGCGUUACCAAAAGAAUAAGCACCGGCUAACUUCGUGCCAGCCGCCGCGGUAAUAG
rnacentral:rRNA from 1 species